rnacentral:misc_RNA from 1 species
AAGUCGUAACAAGGUUUCCGUAGGUGAACCUGCGGAAGGAUCAUUAAAAAAUUGAGGUAUUCAUUACCUCUUUUUGUAUUUAAAACCUCACUCUAUAAAACAAAUUUUUUUAAAAAUAAAAUUAAAAACUUUCAACAAUGGAUCUCUUGGUUCUC